AGUCGCUAGCGCUAGCGGCGAAAAUUCACAACAUCGGCUUCAUUUUCGAGCACGGUUUUACAGCCGGAGUGCUGUACAAAAGAGCAAGGUUAGGUAUUCGUUGUGAUUCGGGAUAUGUUCCUUUUGACAGAACGUUAUAAAUAUGUCGAUUGUAAGUUUUACGAGUCAACUGAAACACCUGAAAGUCGUCAAAGUACCUUACAGAUUCAAGCAUAAAGACACACAUUGGUCGGUGGUAAAGAAAACUAAAACACACACCACCAAAGCUUUGGAACAUUUUGAUGAUUUCUAUGACACCGUUUAUGGAAGACUGUGGCCGGAUGUAAGGACGGCUCUACUUGCUAAAAACAACAAGUACAUGGCAGUAGUUAACAAUUUUAGUGACACAGAUAGAAUUGCUGAGACAUUAGAGAAUUAUGGAGCAAUAAAUCUGCGAGCAAUCUACAAAGCUCAACGUCAAUUGUUAAAAUCGCUAGAACGAGAAAAAGCAAAUCAGAGGAAGUUGAAUAACUUGAAUAAAGGAAUAGACGAAUUUCCCGCUGCCUCUGAGCAAAGUUUACAGGUCCAAUCAUCUGAUUUCCUAGAUAGUACAGAUUCUAAAGACGAGACUGAGGAAGAUUCUAUGUACUCGAAUAAUUCUGCUGUUCCGGCAGAAUUGUUAUCAAUUGCUGGCAGUGAAAGCUCAGGGAAUUUAGACUUGGAUCGAAUCAUAAAUCCACAAAAUGAAUUAUCCAUGAGUUCUCUCCACCAAUACGUUCCUGCCACACAACUCAAAGGCAUGGAAGAUUAUAUUUUGGAGUCAGAACACUACGACUACUACAAGAAAGGUUCAGACCUCUCGAUUAAGGUCGAGAAGCAACGGAAGUUGAAUUUCCCUGAAUAUCUGAAUAUUUAUACUUUCGAAGAGGAGAACGACACCAGAUUUUCAUCUCCUCGAAAAGGAUCUACUGGUGUUCUAGAUUAUUAUCUGCUCGAUGGUGGCUCCAUUCUACCUGUACUGGCCUUGGACCUAAGACCGAAUGACCAUGUGUUGGACAUGUGCGCUGCACCUGGUGGAAAGACGCUAAUCACGCUUCAAACUCUUUUGCCUGAUUUGAUUGUUGCCAAUGAUACUACAUUCUCAAGAGUUAACAGGAUAAAGAAUGUGAUUGAUCAGUAUUUAGACGGAAUGGGCCAAUGGGAUAAAAAACUGGUAAUCUCUCAGAACGAUGCCAGAGCUAUUGGUGAGCAGGAUAAGUUUAACAAAAUACUGGUUGAUGUGCCUUGCACAACUGACAGGCAUUCCUUACACGAAAAUGACAAUAACAUCUUCAAGCCAUCAAGGAUCAAAGAACGAUUACAAUUACCAGAGAUGCAAACGGAAAUUUUGCUAAAUGCCCUGAAGAUUGUACGACCUGGUGGUACCGUUGUGUACUCAACUUGUUCUUUGAGCCCGAUACAGAACGACGGUGUCGUCCAAAUGGCGCUGAAAAAGUCUUGGGAAGAAACAAAUUCGAUCUUUAUCGUAAAAAACAUGUCACCGUCGCUACACCCAUUGAAGUGCAUCUACAAUCUCAGUAGACACGGUCUCAAGUAUGGUCAAGUUUUAUUGCCUUCUCUUGGCAACAACUUUGGUCCUAUGUACUUCUGCAAAAUUAUCAAAGUUCGGUAAACAAGAGGAACAGCUGCGUGAUCCUCUGGCUUAUGUGUGCUGGUACCGAUCUUAUUCCAUGACUGCUCUACAGCCGUUCCAAAGAUCGUAAACAGCUAUAGUUCGUUCAAAAAUUGACUUCAUGUUCCGAACUUGCCGAAUUGUAGAUUGUGAGAUUUUGUAAAAGUGUUCAAUUGUAUUGUACGAAGAAACCACACGCUUAUAGUACUUUACGCUAAAUACAACAGCAGAGCUUACAUCAUAUCUCGUUCACUGUACUAUCUGGUGAAAAAAGUUCUUACACCUUUCUCGUAAUUUUUUUCACUAUUUUUCCAUACAUAUACUAAAUUAUUUUUAAACAAUUCCGAGAAAAAUUCUGUAUCACUUUUGAAAAACAUUAAACUAUAUUGAUAAUUUCAGAGAUUUUAAGAAUUAUGGUAAUUAAGAUACUCCUACAAAGUUUCUAGUAAUGAUUAUAAUUUGUCGCAGAUUUUUUUCACAAAAACUGAGGAACUGUCAGGAUUCGUCCUCUGAGUAAAUAUGUUAUAAUUUCUGAAAAUUUUGAAAACACUUUUUCCUAGGGUGAUUAUAAAACUAAUAAAUCGCUGUAAAUACUUACAUUUCCAUUAGUCACAUGCCCUACAAAUACCGGAACAAUGAGUCCUGGUAUUGUAGCGAAGGUAUUUGUGAUUGCUACCAAAGUUCCCGCAAAGUUUGGCGCAAUGUCAACGUGGUUCGAAAGAAAACCACAAAACAUUCCACCUAUACAUGUUACCCCGACGGUUAAGUAGAACACUGCCAAGCCUCGAUUGCAUCCAACGUAAGAUACGCAGAUCAAACACACCAUCGGAAUGAAUGAUGCUAAAAAAUAAAAGUUUCAUCAAAAAAUGA